ensembl:lncRNA
AUGAAGAGUAAAAAUCGCCAGGGGAGGAGAAAACAUCGCUUGCACUAUCCAACCAGCAUACAACUUGCACUGACCAUCCCCAGGUUCCUGCAGAAACGCUUGGAACCUCCGAGAGGGAAGGAUUCCCAGAGCAGAAAUAAGUUUGGGUGCUUGCUUGCUUUUGUAGACGCUCCCUCCGAAUGCGCGUGGAGCGCCCCACAGGACCGCCGCCCUCUGCGCGUUGGCGCGCACACGCCCCCCGCCAGCUUGGGCGCCGGGCUCCGAACCCCCGCCUGCAAACUUGCGCAUCUCCCCUCGCCGCGCCCGACAGACAACUUGGCGAACAGCUCGCUCGCCCGCACCCCGCUUCCUUCGGCCCUUCCUUCAAAUCCCAAACGCACCGCCGUGCUCCAGAGAAGGUGUCCACGUCGCCCCCAGACCCCGGAGCGCCCCCUCUCCACCCCCGGGGCUUCCCAGGUCGCUCACUCCUCCCGCCCCCCGCCUAGAUCUGAGAGGGACCGAAAACACACCCCCGACUCCGGCAGCCGGGGCCGAAACUGUCAAGAGCAGAAAAGAGAUCGCUGGAGAUGGCGAGCUCCGAGACUCCCUCUAUCUUCUGUUUUCAGAGCAACUCUAUGGUACCAAAAAAAAAAAAAAAAAAAAAAAAAAAAAGGAGAAGGCGACCGGCGAGAGCAGGAGGGAGAGAGCAGGCGGCGGCAGGCGGGCGAGCGAGAGCGCGAGGGAGCGCGCGGAGUGUCUGGGUGGACGUGUGUGUGCGCCCGAGAGGGGACAAGAGGCGGGUCUGGCCACAGGCAGCGCUAGCGAGAGCUUCUCCAGCCGGCCCCCACACCCACAUUCCCCACCCUCCAGACCCCAGACCGAGAGCCACAGACUGGCUGCCAAUUUUGGGAGGUGGGGAAAAUAGGGGAGGAGGAGAGCAGAGCCUCCCGCGCCCCAAUCCUCCCCUCUCCCCAGCCCAUGGACAGAAAUUAAAAUCGGUGAGAUGAUUCCGUGCCUACUUCUGAGACUCUCUCGGGAACAGAACUCGUCCCCAUCCGUUGCCAGCCUGGGAAGAGACAAAUCCGAUUGUCCACGUGGGAAAUCGCAGGUAGCCCCCUGCCAGCCCUGCCCAGGGCUGAGGAGAAACUAAAAAGGAAUUAGAACGGGGCUGACAUCCCAAGGAAGGCGGAGGAUGGGAGGACGUGGCACUUUACUUUGGGAUGGGACGGCCAGUGGGUUUCCAAUCUUGGUUAGAGACAUCUGUGUCUAAAACAGAUCUUGUGAGUCUAGAAGCGCCAUGGACAGUCAGUUUCUGGCAUGGUUGAAAGAGGUCGCUUUCAGCUCCUUUGCUGUUUGUCAGCGAAGGACCCAGAAACCAUUUGGCAGGGCAUUUUCUACUGAAGAAAACUUUGGCCUGUUUGGUCGAUGACUGUCUAAGCUGGAUGAAACAUGCCACGCUGCAUCUAACUCAAGCAUGGCUGCUAAUUGUCAAUUCUCACUGGUACUUUUGCUAUUAAAUAUACAGUCUCAUCCAUAAAAGGUAGAUAUACUGGAGAGGCAUUACUAAUGCCCGGAUAACAUUCAGAUAAUUAACAACUCCAAAUAAUUCACAUUAUUGUGGGCAUCAUUCUACACCCUCCUCCCACUGAAAUACACUCAUCCCCUCCUAAAACUCCAGGAAAGCUGAGAAUUGCGUCAUUGUUACCUUGACCCCAAACUCCAAGAUGAAGGAACAAUAAAUUGAAAGAAUGGAAAAUAUUCCAAUGGUAGUAGCCUGAUUUCUCUGCCUUCAUACUCAAUCUACCACUUUCUUUUGCCUGCGAAGACACUGUGGAAAUAUGCCCCACCUUCCUUUCAAAAGGAUCCAAAAUUUUGACAGUAAAUAUUAUUAUAGGCCAGAAGGUGGCAUAAAUAUGUAUGUUUAAGAGCGUGGGGUAGGGGGAGGAAAUUGGGGGACAUUUUUCUUUUGCUGACUUCC